rnacentral:rRNA from 1 species
UGGGGAAUAUUGCACAAUGGGGGAAACCCUGAUGCAGCGACGCCGCGUGGAGGAAGAAGGUCUUCGGAUUGUAAACUCCUGUUGUUGAGGAAAAAGAGGAUGGUACUCAACAAGGAAGUGACGGCUAACUACGUGCCAGCAGCCGCGGUAAAACGUAGGUCACAAGCGUUGUCCGGAAUUACUGGGUGUAAAGGGAGCGCAGGCGGGUAUGCAAGUUGGGAGUGAAAUACAUGGGCUCAACCCAUGAACUGCUCUCAAAACUGUGUAUCUUGAGUAGUGCAGAGGUAGGCGGAAUUCCCGGUGUAGCGGUGGAAUGCGUAGAUAUCGGGAGGAACACCAGUGGCGAAGGCGGCCUACUGGGCACCAACUGACGCUGAGGCUCGAAAGUGUGGGUAGCAAACAGGAUUAGAUACCCGCGU